AUCAGCAUCAUAAAUGGUAUGAACCAGACAGACAUUCAGCUCUGUUUAACACUGGUCCUAGAUCAGUUAUAUAUAUAUAUAUAUAUCACCUCUCUAAUGGUGACCUGUUCAACACUGGUCCUAGAUCAGUUAUAUAUAUCACCUCUCUAAUGGUGACCCGUUAGGACUGAUCCUAGAUCAAUCAGUUAUAUAUAUAUAUCACCUCUCUAAUGGUGACCUGUUAGGACUGGAGGGAGGAAACUGAUUCUAGAUCAGUUAUUAACAUUUACAUUUUAGUUAUUUUAGCAGACGCUCUUAUCCAGAGCGACUUACAGUAGUGAAUGCAUACAUUUCAGACAUUUCCCCCCCACGUAUUGGUCCCCCGUGGGAAUCGAACCCACAACCCUGGCGUUGCAAACACCCAUGCUCUACCAACUGAGCCACACGGGACCCAUAUAUAUAUAUCUAUCUCUCACCCCUCGUUAGGACUGGAGGGCUGUUCCUAGAUUCAAAUCCGAUCUCCUCUUUUCGGCUGUGCACCUUAUUAAAAGGUAAAGUUUCCACGUUAACAGUAGGCUCAAUCCUAAAUUACCUUUUGGGUUUUUUUUAAAGGUGAACUAUAACCCGGAUCUUCUGCGGAUCAGAUUGAAUCUAGCCAAGGGCUAUUUCUUUCUGGUCCUGGAGGGACGAAACACUACUGGUUCUCAUCCUCUACCUCUAAUCCGAGACUCGUUCAGACCCGAGACUCGUUCAGAUCUGGGGACAACAGGUUGAGACUCGUUCAGAUCUGGGGACAUCAGGUAGAGAGACUCAUUCAGACCUGGGGACAUCAGGUAGAGAGACUCAUUCAGACCUGGGGACAUCAGGUAGAGAGACUCAUUCAGACCUGGGGACAUCAGGUAGAGAGACUCAUUCAGACCUGGGGACAUCAGGUAGAGAGACUCAUUCAGACCUGGGGACAUCAGGUAGAGAGACUCAUUCAGACCUGGGGACAUCAGGUAGAGAGACUCAUUCAGACCUGGGGACAUCAGGUAGAGAGACUCA
rnacentral:lncRNA from 1 species